rnacentral:rRNA from 1 species
GAUCCUGGCUCAGGAUGAACGCUAGCUACAGGCUUAACACAUGCAAGUCGAGGGGCAGCAUUGGAGUAGCAAUACUUCAGAUGGCGACCGGCGCACGGGUGAGUAACACGUAUCCAACCUGCCGCUUACUCGGGGAUAGCCUUUCGAAAGAAAGAUUAAUACCCGAUGGUAUAAAGAGUUCGCAUGUUCUCUUUAUUAAAGAAUUUCGGUAAGCGAUGGGGAUGCGUUCCAUUAGAUAGUUGGCGGGGUAACGGCCCACCAAGUCUACGAUGGAUAGGGGUUCUGAGAGGAAGGUCCCCCACAUUGGAACUGAGACACGGUCCAAACUCCUACGGGAGGCAGCAGUGAGGAAUAUUGGUCAAUGGACGAGAGUCUGAACCAGCCAAAGUAGCGUGAAGGAUGACUGCCCUAUGGGUUGUAAACUUCUUUUAUAAGGGAAUAAAGUGAGGGACGUGUCCCUUUUUGUAUGUACCUUAUGAAUAAGGAUCGGCUAACUCCGUGCCAGCCGCCGC